rnacentral:lncRNA from 1 species
AGGGGCUUCGUGUGGACCAUUUGUAGAGGUCGAAUGCUUGUGCAGCUGCUUGACAUCAGUGAGAGCUUCAUACCAUGCUUACCAAUAGUAGAGAUCAUCAACUUAUGAGAAGGUGAUGAGUUCUAUCGACAUAAUCUAAAGAUUAGAUCAAAUUUCAGGCAUCGAUGUGAUCGAUGGAGUUUUCUAUUUUAUUUUAGAUUUUAUAUGUA